AGGAACCGGAGAACCGGAGAGCGGGCGGAAAUGAGAAGCUGUUUGUUGUGCUAGAAGAAACUGGGUGGAGGUGUCUCUGCUGCCUGAGAAUGACAGAUGGAAUGAGACCAGAGCUCAGCUGCUGGCACAAAUGGAUGUUAGUGUGGGAGGAAGAGUGGCCGAGGAGCUCAUAUUUGGAACUGAUCAUGUUACAACAGGUGUUUCCAGUGAUUUUGAUAAUGCAACCAAAACAGCAAAGUGGAUGGGGUUACCGGAUUUGGAAUGAGUGAAAAGGACUCAUAUGAAUGGGAGAAACUUACCUUGAAGACCCGUGCAAAAGAGCAUAAGAACCUAGCAGAAGAUUUAUUGACCUAUGAGACUUUGGAUGCCAAGGAGAU